rnacentral:lncRNA from 10 species
GAACAAUCUGUGUAAACUCAGAGAGUGACAGCCUGAGAUGGGGCACAGCUGGACCCAAUCAGGAGGUCCUGGAGUAUGAACUGUGUCCGCUUAAGGUCACAGCUGUUGUAAGAAGAUCCUGGAGAAGGACCCUGGCCAAUUGCAGGAGGGUGGCCAGGCCUCAAAAUCAAGUUCUCCCAGGAAGGAAUGGAUGAUGGGGAACAGUUUAACCUAGAUGCUGUGGUUCCAGUCAAGCUCCCCCCACCAUCAUCUACCCGGCCAACAAUGGAACAGACUGGUAGUGAACUCCUGGUCCCUGGAGGCAGCAAAAGAAGCCACUUACCUGAGAACUUUUGCUUCUGGGUUCUUCGGACUCUGUUUCUUAGGCCACUUCCUCUUGGAAUCCAGCUGCCAUGCUGGGAGAAUUCUAAGCCACAUGGAGUGGCCAACCAUGUAACUGGGCUCUCAGCCAACAGCAAGCGUCAACUGCCCACCAUAUGAAUGCGCUGUCUUCCAUCCAGCCCUCGAGCCUUCAGAUGACUGCAGCCCUAGCCCCCAUCUGACUGCAGCUGCAGAAAGAAACACUCAACUGGGCACAGUCAACCCCGGAAACAUAAUAAAUUACUGUUUUGUUUUUGUUUUUGAGAUGGGGUCUCACUCUAUCACCCAGGCGGGAGUGCAGUGGUGUGAUAUCG